UAGGGAAUUUUGCGCAAUGGGGGAAACCCUGACGCAGCAACGCCGCGUGAAUGAGACGCCCUUCGGGGUGUAAAGUUCUGUCAGUGGGGACGAACGAUGACGGUACCCACAGAGGAAGCACCGGCUAACUCCGUGCCAGCAGCCGCGGUAAUACGGAGGGUGCAAGCGUUGUCCGGAAUCAUUGGGCGUAAAGAGUUCGUAGGCGGCACGUAAAGUCUGGUGUUAAAGGUCGAGGCUCAACCUCGGUAUGGCACUGGAUACUUGCGAGCUAGAAUGCGGUAGAGGUAAAGGGAAUUCCUGGUGUAGCGGUGAAAUGCUUAGAUAUCAGGAGGAACAUCGGUGGCGUAAGCGCUUUACUGGGCCGUAAUUGACGCUGAGGAACGAAAGCCAGGGUAGCAAAUGGG
rnacentral:rRNA from 1 species